UCCGAGUUGACCCCGGCAGUCUCCCAUGAGUCCCCGCCAUAACGCGCUGGCAACAUGGAACGAGGGUUGCGCUCGUUGCGGGACUUAACCCAACAUCUCACGACACGAGCUGACGACAACCAUGCACCACCUGUGAACGGCGCAAAAGCACCCCACAUCUCUGCAGGUAGACCGAACAUGUCAAGCCCAGGUAAGGUUCUUCGCGUUGCAUCGAAUUAAGCCACAUGCUCCGCCGCUUGUGCGGGCCCCCGUCAAUUCCUUUGAGUUUUAGCCUUGCGGCCGUACUCCCCAGGCGGGGAACUUAAUGCGUUAGCUGCGGCACAGAGCCCGUGGAAUGGACCCCACACCUAGUUCCCAACGUUUACGGCGUGGACUAC
rnacentral:misc_RNA from 1 species